GAUCAACUGGGAGGGAAGGAUGGGAUGAGAGGUUGACAGAGAUCGAAUUCAUCAACCUCAGCUCAGGUGGGAUUCUUUUCCUUUAAUAUGUCAAAUGUUUAAAAUCAUCUGCAACAUCUCUUUGGAGGAAUUAAUGACAAAUAAGGCAUCUUAAAAAAUUGCUUAAGAUACCUUUCUAUAACGGUUUAAAAGUGUGAGUAUCCCAGCUCAAGCAUAGCCCUCAAAGCUUCUGAAUACCACAGGAUAAAGGAGCUCCCAGGGCUUCUUGGAGGAAAAACUGCAUCAGCAGGUUUGGAAAUUCAGCCUUAAGCCCCUGGUACAAAGGUGAACAGGGAAUUAGGGGUGAAGUGAAUCUGGGAACUCAGCCUCAGUGGUUUGUGGCACACAUGAGCUCACAGUCACUCUGACUUCCUUCCAGCACAUUGAGCAAAGCUGAAAGCAUCCACUCACUUGGAGGAAUAUACCAGGAAGCUAGGCAUGACAACUAAAAUACCACCCUGUCCAUUUUCAAUCCAAAUGAAACAACGGUCAGGAUUUGGAACUGAGAAACCGCAGUGAUGAAUCAAAGAGCCAAGAGAGAAAGACUCUAAACUUCCGUUUAAAAAGGGUUUGUCCUCAGGAGGAGCAGAGUGACAUAGAUUAGUGCCACUGCUUUAGUUUCAGAUGGAGAAAUUAUGCCAGGAGGGAGAAUUGCUGUGAUUUGCUUCCUAUUACACAGGUGGAGCAGAGUUUUUAAUAAUUACUGGCUGACAGCAGCUGUGUUUUUAACACCAUAGCAACAAUCAACUCCUAGUUUAUUCUGAGUUGAUAAAAUUAUCCAGGCCACAAAGACAUUAUUAAAAAUAAAAAUGUCUGUUCCAUGGAUUUAAGGCAGCGCUUCUCAAAUUUUACUGUGCUUUGGAGUCAACAGGGGCUGCCAACUAAAAAUGCAGAUGCCAUAGACUUAACCCCUGAGAUUCUAGAUCAUAGUAUUUGAGAGCGAAGUCCCAGAAAUCUGUACUGCUAACAAGCUCCCUAAAUGACUCACAAGUGGGAAGUUCACGAACCAUCCUUUGAGAGAUACUGCAAACCAGGUGUGGUGGCUCACGCCCGUAAUCCUAGAACUUUGAGCGGUCGAGGCGGGAGCAUCGCUUGAGCCCAGUAGUUCAAGACCAGCCGGGACAGCAAAAUGAGACCCCGUCUCUACAAAAAACAUUUUAAAAACUAGCCGGGAGUUGUGGCACGCACCUGUGGUCCCAGCUACUUGGGAGGCUGAGGCAGGAGGAGCGCUUGAGCCCAGGAGAUCUAGGCUUCAGUAAGCCAUGAUCAUAUCACUGCACUCCAGCCCGGGUGACAGAGUGAGACCGUGUCUCAAAAAAUGAGAGAAAAAGCGAGAUACUGCAUUAGAUCAUGCCUAAGAGUUGAGUUGUUAGUCUAGUGCCUUCCCCAAGCGGCACGAAGGACAGACUCCAGAUCUGCACUGGCUACUAUGGAAGCCACCAGUCACAUGUGGCUACUGAGCACCAGGAACAUCCACACUGAGAUGUGCCCAUCUGCUGAAAAAAUCAGAAGAUUCAGCAAUACUGAGCCCACCACCCCAAAUGAAAAAAAUUCUCCUGGCUCCAGGAUGAAGUAACUGCUUCAUCAGAAGCCCUUCAGAAGAACACACAGGGGCUCUCUAGGUCUGCUGACUCUGACUUCAGCCCCGGUGGUAGUGAUGAAGAAUGACUUAACAAGGACUCUACUUUGGAACAGAAUUAAAGAUGGAAGACCCAAUAUUUAUACCUGCAUUUCUGGGCAUUGCUAGGAAUGUGUCAGUGAAAGAACGGUUUUUCAGACUGCUCUCUUCCACCAUGGAUUGCUCUUCCCAUAUCAUCUCAGACAGAGGCAAAGUCCCCGAAAAGCUGAAUGUUCCUUCUCCUGGGGAGAGAGUGCAAGUUUCUCCAGUCUACUAAAUCUGAAUGUGUAUAUAAUCCUUUUGUAAUGUGGAGGAAUGUAAUUAAGACCCACUCUGUCAGACAGCUGGAUAAAGUUUUUCUCUUUCCUUCCUCUUCUCUCUCUUUUUCCUCCCUCACCCCUCUUUCCUUCCCUCUCCCUUUCACUAUCUUCAGGGACCUUAAGAAAAGUGGCUUUAGCAAUAGUCAAUUUGUCGCCAAACUGUACAUCACCCAAUGUGACAUUAGCCAUGGUAGGGGACAGAAAUUAAUAUCUUUUACCCAGUCAUUGCAAGGUACUUUGUUGAGAUCUUUAUAACAAAAGAUCAAUGAACAGGAUAAAAAUGGACAAAAUUGUUUAAUAUAAGUUUUAUGUGACACGGGAGCCUUCAGAAAUAAAGACCCAAAGAGACAUGAAAAGCUGUAUUUUUGUGAUUGGGUUUGAUGAAGAGUGGACAGUCAUGCAGAAGUAUGAUUGGACAAAAGGGUAUAUGGUCUAACGGUAAUAAACUGAGGGGAACCUAGCAAGGCCUGUUUGUACAGAACCUUCUCUGAUGUCUCUGCCUUCAUUCCUUUCCUCUGCGCAAAGGAAGGAUCCCUGUGAAUGAGGGUCCUAUGACCUAUGUUAGAGGAAAGUCAGAGCAUUCUUUUAUGGCUUGCUUCUGGAGAGAAUAGCAUUCCAUUGGGUACUAUGCUCAUUACUGGGUCAAGA
rnacentral:lncRNA from 1 species